rnacentral:snRNA from 1 species
AUCCCGGUGCACGGGCAUUACCAGCAGCAGUGAGGAUUCGUCCGAGCUCUGGUUUUUGCUAGUUGAAAACUACAACUAUAUUGACUGCUUCAGUUGGAUUUCGAUUCGGCUGGGAAUUUUUGAUACCCUUGUGCUCUUUGAGC